CUGUUUAAGAGCAGCUUCCUGUCUCUAUCUGAUCAAGCAGAAGCAGACACUUUUCUUAGAAGCAGAUACUGGUUACACUGCCAGUGGCAUAACAGGAACCCUGCACGGGCACACGUGGCUGCCAAGAAGGCUGGAAUCUCGUCAAUCAGGUCCUGAAGAACUAACAGAUGACAACCCAUCAGACUACAACAGGGGGUUUUAUUGCACCCAGGCUGGAAUUAUCUCAG
rnacentral:lncRNA from 1 species